rnacentral:rRNA from 1 species
GAUGAACGCUGGCGGCGUGCCUAAUACAUGCAAGUCGAGCGAACGGACGAGAAGCUUGCUUUUCUGAUGUUAGCGGCGGACGGGUGAGUAACACGUGGAUGACCUACCUAUAAGACUGGGAUAACUUCGGGAAACCGGAGCUAAUACCGGAUAAUAUUUUGAACCGCAUGGUUCAAAAGUGAAAGACGGUCUUGCUGUCACUUAUAGGUGGAUCCGCGCUGCAUUAGCUAGUUGGUAAGGUAACGGCUUACCAAGGCAACGAUGCAUAGCCGACCUGAGAGGGUGAUCGGCCACACUGGAACUGAGACACGGUCCAGACUCCUACGGGAGGCAGCAGUAGGGAAUCUUCCGCAAUGGGCGAAAGCCUGACGGAGCAACGCCGCGUGAGUGAUGAAGGUCUUCGGAUCGUAAAACUCUGUUAUUAGGGAAGAACAUAUGUGUAAGUAACUGUGCACAUCUUGACGGUACCUAAUCAGAAAGCCACGGCUAACUACGUG